CUUGCUCCACCGGAAAAAGAGGAGUGGCGAACGGGUGAGUAACACGUGGGUAACCUGCCCAUCAGAAGGGGAUAACACUUGGAAACAGGUGCUAAUACCGUAUAACAAUCGAAACCGCAUGGUUUUGAUUUGAAAGGCGCUUUCGGGUGUCGCUGAUGGAUGGACCCGCGGUGCAUUAGCUAGUUGGUGAGGUAACGGCUCACCAAGGCCACGAUGCAUAGCCGACCUGAGAGGGUGAUCGGCCACAUUGGGACUGAGACACGGCCCAAACUCCUACGGGAGGCAGCAGUAGGGAAUCUUCGGCAAUGGACGAAAGUCUGACCGAGCAACGCCGCGUGAGUGAAGAAGGUUUUCGGAUCGUAAAACUCUGUUGUUAGAGAAGAACAAGGAUGAGAGUAACUGUUCAUCCCUUGACGGUAUCUAACCAGAAAGCCACGGCUAACUACGUGCCAGCAGCCGCGGUAAUACGUAGGUGGCAAGCGUUGUCCGGAUUUAUUGGGCGUAAAGCGAGCGCAGGCGGUUUCUUAAGUCUGAUGUGAAAGCCCCCGGCUCAACCGGGGAGGGUCAUUGGAAACUGGGAGACUUGAGUGCAGAAGAGGAGAGUGGAAUUCCAUGUGUAGCGGUGAAAUGCGUAGAUAUAUGGAGGAACACCAGUGGCGAA
rnacentral:rRNA from 1 species